rnacentral:tRNA from 1 species
ACGAGUAUAAGUUAAUUGGUAAACUAUGGAGUUUCCACCUCUAAUUUGUCUGUUCAAGUCAGACUACUCGUA